rnacentral:rRNA from 1 species
CUAUAAGACUGGGAUAACUUCGGGAAACCGGAGCUAAUACCGGAUAAUAUUUUGAACCGCAUGGUUCAAAAGUGAAAGACGGUCUUGCUGUCACUUAUAGAUGGAUCCGCGCUGCAUUAGCUAGUUGGUAAGGUAACGGCUUACCAAGGCAACGAUGCAUAGCCGACCUGAGAGGGUGAUCGGCCACACUGGAACUGAGACACGGUCCAGACUCCUACGGGAGGCAGCAGUAGGGAAUCUUCCGCAAUGGGCGAAAGCCUGACGGAGCAACGCCGCGUGAGUGAUGAAGGUCUUCGGAUCGUAAAACUCUGUUAUUAGGGAAGAACAUAUGUGUAAGUAACUGUGCACAUCUUGACGGUACCUAAUCAGAAAGCCACGGCUAACUACGUGCCAGCAGCCGCGGUAAUACGUAGGUGGCAAGCGUUAUCCGGAAUUAUUGGGCGUAAAGCGCGCGUAGGCGGUUUUUUAAGUCUGAUGUGAAAGCCCACGGCUCAACCGUGGAGGGUCAUUGGAAACUGGAAAACUUGAGUGCAGAAGAGGAAAGUGGAAUUCCAUGUGUAGCGGUGAAAUGCGCAGAGAUAUGGAGGAACACCAGUGGCGAAGGCGACUUUCUGGUCUGUAACUGACGCUGAUGUGCGAAAGCGUGGGGAUCAAACAGGAUUAGAUACCCUGGUAGUCCACGCCGUAAACGAUGAGUGCUAAGUGUUAGGGGGUUUCCGCCCCUUAGUGCUGCAGCUAACGCAUUAAGCACUCCGCCUGGGGAGUACGACCGCAAGGUUGAAACUCAAAGGAAUUGACGGGGACCCGCACAAGCGGUGGAGCAUGUGGUUUAAUUCGAAGCAACGCGAAGAACCUUACCAAAUCUUGACAUCCUUUGACAACUCUAGAGAUAGAGCCUUCCCCUUCGGGGGACAAAGUGACAGGUGGUGCAUGGUUGUCGUCAGCUCGUGUCGUGAGAUGUUGGGUUAAGUCCCGCAACGAGCGCAACCCUUAAGCUUAGUUGCCAUCAUUAAGUUGGGCACUCUAAGUUGACUGCCGGUGACAAACCGGAGGAAGGUGGGGAUGACGUCAAAUCAUCAUGCCCCUUAUGAUUUGGGCUACACACGUGC